rnacentral:rRNA from 1 species
AUUGAACGCUGGCGGCAUGCUUUACACAUGCAAGUCGAACGGUAACAGGGUGCUUGCACCGCUGACGAGUGGCGAACGGGUGAGUAAUGCGUCGGAACGCACCGAGUAAUGGGGGAUAACGCAGCGAAAGCUGUGCUAAUACCGCAUACGCUCUGAGGAGGAAAGCGGGGGACCUUCGGGCCUCGCGUCAUUCGAGCGGCCGACGUCUGAUUAGCUAGUAGGUGAGGUAAGAGCUCACCUAGGCGACGAUCAGUAGCGGGUCUGAGAGGAUGAGCCGCCACACUGGGACUGCGACACGGCCCCGACUCCGACGGGAGGCAGCAGUGGGGAAUUUUGGACAAUGGGCGCAAGCCUGAUCCAGCCAUGCCGCGUGUCUGAAGAAGGCCUUCGGGUGUAAAGGACUUUUGUCAGGGAGGAAAUCCUUAGCGCUAAUACCGUUGAGGGAUGACAGUACCUGAAGAAUAAGCACCGGCUAACUACGUGCCAGCCGCCGCAGUAA